ensembl:lncRNA
CUUGUGUGGACUCUUCCCAAGGCCCUGAACCUCAGUUUCUGUUUGCAAUUUUGGAUUAUUUCUCUGAAAGGGCAUCCCCCAGAUUGUAUAAGAUUCGGACUCCACGAGCCCCCACUCCACCGCUGGCCUGCAGCCGUCCCCUUGCUGGCGCUCCAUGCCAGGAGCAGCCUCGGUAGGCAGGAUUGCUGUCCCAUGGGUUUCUACACCUUUCCUGGCUCUGUGGACAGCAUCACAAGUCCGAGAAGCUUUGGAAAGAGAGGCCAGUGCUAGGCUGUUUUAUCUGUUUGUGGGGGCUGGGGGUGAAUGAGAGGCCUUCUUGAGGUCUCUUCCAGCCAAGCACCUCCUGGAUAACCGCACUGAGUCGCUUCCCUUCAGAGCCUCAGUGAGCAGAAGCUAACAUUCCCAACAGGCAGCCUCAGUUUGAGCAGAGCCGAACAGCCCGACGGGCGGGCGAGGCCUGUCAUCCGUCCUGUCUGGCCACAUUCAUUCCGGGCUGUCCUGCUUUGUGGCUUCCUCACCACCACCCAAACUUGUCUGCAUGUCCUACAUCCAUCCAGAUCAGCAGAGAUGGCAGAAAUACUCCCUCAGGCCCUGCACACUCCUGGACGCACAGACCCGUCCUUCUUCUCAACAGGACUCCUGUCUCCUCCCGUCGCCCGUCCUCCAAGCCAGCCCUGAUUCCGACCGACGCUGCAAACACACCCUGUGACCUUCCUGCCUUGGUACCAGGAUCCUGGCCUGACCACAGCCUCAACAUCCACACCCUCUCUGGGCUGGACCAACUCCUGCAAGUCGGGUGUGGCAACAGAUCAGACAGCUUGAAUGAGUCUGUUACCGCAAGAUGAGGGCCUCUUGCACCUGACUCCCUCGGAAUGCCCAUCCCUUGAUGCCUCCAGGCUCCAGCAGUGGAGGGUCGGGGAGCUCAGAUUUUAGAAAGGAUGGAGGAUCCUGGAAGAUUUCCUCCUCCUCGACCAGGCACUCUACAUACUCUGGACACUAACACUUUGUCAGAUAUAUGUAUUGUGAGCGUCCAUUGGUCUGUGGUUUGCCUCUUCACUCAAUGUUAUCUUUUGAUGAAGCCAAGGUUCUUAAGUUUAACGUAGUCCAAUGGAUCAACCUUAUUUUUAAUGGUCAGUGCCUUUUAUGCCUACUUAGGAAAUCUUUGACUUCAUGACACCUAAGUCAGGAAAAUAGUCUCCUAUGUCUUCUUCUAGAAACUUUGUUGUUUUACCUUUCACGUUAAGAUCUGUAAUCCAUUUUGAAUUAAUUUGUGUUAAGUAGGGUCAAAGUUCAUUCUUCCCAUACAGAUACACAAUUGAUCCAGUACUGGUUAUUAAAAGGACCAUUCUUUCCCUCACUGAGUUGCAGGAGUGCCUUUGUCAUAAAGUAAAUGUAUAUGUGUGGGUCUGUUUCUGGGCCCUAAAUUCUGUUCCAUGGAUCUAUUUGAAUGUCUUUGUGCCAAUAUCAUGCAGGCUUGACUACUGUAGCUUUAUAAUAAAUCUUAAUAUCUGCUAGUAUAAAUCUUCUGAUGUUAUCCUUCAAGGUUAUCCUGGCUAUUCUAGAUCUUUUCCAUUGCCAUACAAAUUUUACAAUUAGCUUGCCAAUUCUCCCUCUCUGUCUCUCUGUUUCUCUGUCUCUGUCACACACAUACCCACACAUUCCCUACUGGCAUCUAAUUGGAAUUUCAUUAAAGCUAUACAUCAUUUGGGGAUAGAACUGACAUAAUGACAGUACUGAGACUUGAUAGAUGUCUCCACUGUUUAGCUCUAUAGUUUCUCUCAGCAAUGUUUUAUCAUUUUCAAUGUAGAAAAAAAUUUUAAAUAAAAUUUAUCUUUUUACUGGUCAUAA